CCCUUAGAUGUUCUGGGCCGCACGCGCGCUACACUGAUGCAUUCAACGAGUCUAAAACCUGCUCUGAUAGGGGUGGGUAAUCUUUUGAAUGUGCAUCGUGAUUGGGAUAGAUGAUUGCAAUUUUUCAUCUUCAACGAGGAAUGCCUAGUAAACGCAAGUCAUCAGCUUGCAUUGAUUACGUCCCUGCCCUUUGUACACACCGCCCGUCACUCCUACCGAUUGAAUGAUCCGAUGAAUAUCAUGGAUUGAGGAUUAUAGCAGGUUCGCCUGUCUUGAUCUUCGAGAAGUGAAGUAAAUCUUAUCAUUUAGAGGAAGGAGAAGUCGUAACA
rnacentral:rRNA from 1 species